rfam:Marivita cryptomonadis strain CL-SK44 contig7, whole genome shotgun sequence.
GCGGAGGGCCGGAUGGCCGCCCCUAUAUGGGGGAGGAAAGUCCGGACUCCCUGAAGCAAUGGUGCCGGGUAACGCCCGGGCAGGGCAACCUGACGGAAAGCGCCACAGAGAACAGACCGCCCCGAUUUCGAUCGGGGUAAGGGUGAAACGGUGGGGUAAGAGCCCACCGGGGGGCUGGCAACAGCCCCCGCAUGGCAAGCCCCACCGGGAGCAAUGCCGAAUAGGGGGAUCGCGCCGCGUGUCGGCAGGGUCGCUUCAGCCCAGAUCCCCGGGUUGGCAGCACGAGGCCGAUGGCAACAUCGGUCCCAGAGGAAUGGUCAUCUAUCCUUGGGGCAACCCAAGGGGGACAGAAUCCGGCUUACAGGCCCUCCGCGCGU